rnacentral:rRNA from 1 species
AGGCGUAGUCGAUGGGAAACGGGUCAAUAUUCCCGUACCGGACAUGGUUGCGAUGGGGGGACGAAGAAGGCUAGGUGAGCCAGGCGUUGGUAGUCCUGGUGAAAGUGAGUAGGCCGAGACCUUAGGUAAAUCCGGGGUCUUAAAGCCGAGACACGAGACGAACUGACCACGGUCAGGAAGUCACUGAUGCCACGCUUCCAGGAAAAGCCUCUAAGCUUCAGAUCAUGUGCGACCGUACCCCAAACCGACACAGG